CACGUAGGGUGCGAGCGUUGUCCGGAAUUAUUGGGCGUAAAGAGCUCGUAGGCGGUUUGUCGCGUCUGCUGUGAAAACCCGAGGCUCAACCUCGGGCCUGCAGUGGGUACGGGCAAACUAGAGUGCGGUAGGGGAGAAUGGAAUUCCUGGUGUAGCGGUGGAAUGCGCAGAUAUCAGGAGGAACACCGAUGGCGAAGGCAGUUCUCUGGGCCGUAACUGACGCUGAGGCACGAAGGUCAGGGGAGCAAACGGG
rnacentral:rRNA from 1 species